UCAAGAAACUUCCACAGUGGGCGAAAGCCUGAUGGAGCGACGUCGCGUGAUGGACGAAGUGCUUCGGCACGUAAACAUCUUUUAUGUGGGAUGAAAUUAUUGACAGUACCACAUGAAUAAGGGGCUCCUAACUCUGUGCCAGCAGGAGCGGUAAUACAGAGGCCCCAAGCGUUAUCCGGAAUCACUGGGCGUAAAGGGUGUCGAGGCGGUUGUAUUAGUCGUUCGUAAAAUCUACGAGCUUAACUUGUAGGCGGCGAACGAAACGGUACGACUUGAGGUUUGGAGAGGUGCGUGGAACUCACGGUGUAGGGGUGAAAUCCGUUGAUAUCGUGGGGAACACCAAAGGCGAAGGCAGCGCACUGGCCAAAAUCUGACGCUCACACACGAAAGCUAGGGUAGCGAAGAGGAUUAGAUACCCAAGUAGUCCCUG
rnacentral:rRNA from 1 species